UACGUAGGGUGCAAGCGUUAAUCGGAAUUACUGGGCGUAAAGCGUGCGCAGGCGGUUGUGCAAGACCGAUGUGAAAUCCCCGGGCUUAACCUGGGAAUGGCAUUGGUGACUGCACGGCUAGAGUGUGUCAGGAGGGGGGUAGAAUUCCACGUGUAGCAGUGAAAUGCGUAGAGAUGUGGAGGAACACCAGUGGCGAAGGCGACUCUCUGGUCUGUAACUGACGCUGAGGCGCGAAAGCGUGGGGAGCAAACAGG
rnacentral:rRNA from 1 species